UUCUUAAUUCUAGAUGAGAUGCAUCCAGCCU
rnacentral:piRNA from 1 species